CCUACGGGAGGCAGCAGUGAGGAAUAUUGGUCAAUGGCCGGAAGGCUGAACCAGCCAAGCCGCGUGAAGGACGAAGGUGCCAAGCAUUGUAAACUUCUUUUGUCAAGGGACAAAAUCAGGCUCGAGAGCCUGACCGAGGGUACUUGAAGAAAAAGCAUAGGCUAACUCCGUGCCGGCGGCCGGGGUAAUACGGAGGAUGCGAGCGUUAUCCGGAUUUAUAGGGUUAAAAGGGUGCGUAGUGGGACUGUUAAGUCAGCGGUAAAAGCCCGGGGCUCAACCCCGGCGAGCCGUUGAAACUGGCUGUCUGGAGAUGGCGAGAGGAAAGCGGAAUUCGCAGUGUAGCGGUGAAAUGCUUAGAUAUUGCGCAGAACUCCGAUUGCGAAGGCAGCAUACCGGCGGCGAUCUGACGCUGAGGCACGAAAGCGUGGGUAUCGAACAGGAUUAGAUACCCGGGUAGUC
rnacentral:rRNA from 1 species